AGCUUUAUAGUCAAAAAUGAUAUAAAAUUGCAAAUUUUAUGGGGUAUAAAUAAUAAUACUAAGGCUU
rnacentral:tRNA from 2 species